rnacentral:rRNA from 1 species
GACGAACCGUCCAAACGUUAUUCGGAAUCACUGGGCUUACAGAGUUCGUAGGCGGUCUGGAAAGUUGGGUGUGAAAUCCCUCGGCUCAACCGAGGAACUGCGCUCAAAACUACCAGACUCGAGGGAGAUAGAGGAAAGCGGAACUGAUGGUGGAGCGGUGAAAUGCGUUGAUAUCAUCAGGAACACCGGUGGCGAAGGCGGCUUUCUGGGUCUUACCUGACGCUGAGGAACGAAAGCUAGGGGAGCGAACGGG